UUAAAUUGAAGAGUUUGAUCAUGGCUCAGAUUGAACGCUGGCGGCAGGCCUAACACAUGCAAGUCGAACGGUAACAGGAAGCAGCUUGCUGCUUUGCUGACGAGUGGCGGACGGGUGAGUAAUGUCUGGGAAACUGCCUGAUGGAGGGGGAUAACUACUGGAAACGGUAGCUAAUACCGCAUAACGUCGCAAGACCAAAGAGGGGGACCUUCGGGCCUCUUGCCAUCGGAUGUGCCCAGAUGGGAUUAGCUAGUAGGUGGGGUAAAGGCUCACCUAGGCGACGAUCCCUAGCUGGUCUGAGAGGAUGACCAGCCACACUGGAACUGAGACACGGUCCAGACUCCUACGGGAGGCAGCAGUGGGGAAUAUUGCACAAUGGGCGCAAGCCUGAUGCAGCCAUGCCGCGUGUAUGAAGAAGGCCUUCGGGUUGUAAAGUACUUUCAGCGGGGAGGAAGGGAGUAAAGUUAAUACCUUUGCUCAUUGACGUUACCCGCAGAAGAAGCACCGGCUAACUCCGUGCCAGCAGCCGCGGUAAUACGGAGGGUGCAAGCGUUAAUCGGAAUUACUGGGCGUAAAGCGCACGCAGGCGGUUUGUUAAGUCAGAUGUGAAAUCCCCGGGCUCAACCUGGGAACUGCAUCUGAUACUGGCAAGCUUGAGUCUCGUAGAGGGGGGUAGAAUUCCAGGUGUAGCGGUGAAAUGCGUAGAGAUCUGGAGGAAUACCGGUGGCGAAGGCGGCCCCCUGGACGAAGACUGACGCUCAGGUGCGAAAGCGUGGGGAGCAAACAGGAUUAGAUACCCUGGUAGUCCACGCCGUAAACGAUGUCGACUUGGAGGUUGUGCCCUUGAGGCGUGGCUUCCGGAGCUAACGCGUUAAGUCGACCGCCUGGGGAGUACGGCCGCAAGGUUAAAACUCAAAUGAAUUGACGGGGGCCCGCACAAGCGGUGGAGCAUGUGGUUUAAUUCGAUGCAACGCGAAGAACCUUACCUGGUCUUGACAUCCACGGAAGUUUUCAGAGAUGAGAAUGUGCCUUCGGGAACCGUGAGACAGGUGCUGCAUGGCUGUCGUCAGCUCGUGUUGUGAAAUGUUGGGUUAAGUCCCGCAACGAGCGCAACCCUUAUCCUUUGUUGCCAGCGGUCCGGCCGGGAACUCAAAGGAGACUGCCAGUGAUAAACUGGAGGAAGGUGGGGAUGACGUCAAGUCAUCAUGGCCCUUACGACCAGGGCUACACACGUGCUACAAUGGCGCAUACAAAGAGAAGCGACCUCGCGAGAGCAAGCGGACCUCAUAAAGUGCGUCGUAGUCCGGAUUGGAGUCUGCAACUCGACUCCAUGAAGUCGGAAUCGCUAGUAAUCGUGGAUCAGAAUGCCACGGUGAAAUACGUUCCCGGGCCUUUGUACACACCGCCCGGUCACCACCAUGGGAGUGGGUUGCAAAAGAAGUAGGUAGCUUAACCUUCGGGAGGGCGCUUACCACUUUGUGAUUCAUGACUGGGGUGAAGUCGUAACAAGGUAACCGUAGGGGAACCUGCGGUUGGAUCACCUCCUUA
rnacentral:rRNA from 1 species